CCUACGGGAGGCAGCAGUGAGGAAUAUUGGUCAAUGGGCGUAAGCCUGAACCAGCCAAGCCGCGUGAGGGAUGAAGGUUCUAUGGAUCGUAAACCUCUUUUAUAAGGGAAUAAAGUGCGGGACGUGUCCCGUUUUGUAUGUACCUUAUGAAUAAGGAUCGGCUAACUCCGUGCCAGCAGCCGCGGUAAUACGGAGGAUCCGAGCGUUAUCCGGAUUUAUUGGGUUUAAAGGGUGCGUAGGCGGCCUUUUAAGUCAGCGGUGAAAGUCUGUGGCUCAACCAUAGAAUUGCUGUUGAAACUGGGAGGCUUGAGUAUGUUAGAGGCAGGCGGAAUGCGUGGUGUAGCGGUGAAAUGCGUAGAUAUCACGCAGAACCCCGAUUGCGAAGGCAGCCUGCCAAGCCAUGACUGACGCUGAUGCACGAAAGCGUGGGGAGCAAACAGGAUUAGAUACCCGGGUAGUC
rnacentral:rRNA from 1 species